rnacentral:rRNA from 1 species
UACGUAGGGGGCAAGCGUUGUCCGGAUUUACUGGGCGUAAAGCGCGCGUAGGCGGAACUUCAAGUCCGGUCUGAAAGCCCCCGGCUCAACCGGGGAGGGUGGCUGGAAACUGGGGUUCUUGAGGGCGAGAGAGGAGGGUGGAAUUCCUGGUGUAGCGGUGAAAUGCGUAGAUAUCUGGAGGAACACCGGUGGCGAAGGCGGCAUCCUGGACCGACACUGACGCUGAGGCGCGAAAGCUAGGGGAGCAAACGGG